rnacentral:lncRNA from 1 species
GGCAGCAUGUACAGGAACAGAUGGCAAUGUUAAUAAACAUAAAAAAAUUGUAGGUUAUUUACCCUGAUAAGAAGUUAUUUCCCUUGAAAAAUUAUACAUUUUUGGAAAAAUUAUAUUUCGAGAACCGGAAGUCGUAGGGACUUGGGACCUUCACCAUUAUUCUUUAAUUCAUGUGACCUUUAAUUUGCACCAAGGUCAAAGGUCACCG